GACCAAUCCAAGCAAAUGGAAAAGGCAUUUUAUUUAAAGGAAACUAACGUACAGUUUACGGAUUUGAAAAUGAAUAUUUGGUCUUGGAAAGUCCUUGAAAAGUGCUUGAAUUUAGGUUUGAGAUUUCUGUUUGAACCAUGAGACAUCUAUAUAUUCAGCAAGGAACGAGAGCAAAUCAAGGAACAAUCGAAACGAUUCAUUCAGAAGUGUUUCUGCUGUAAAUAGUUAGGACAGUAGUAGCGUUACGGACUGUCCUCAGCGCACAAUUUAUUUAUGUGGUGCGCCUCAGAUGCGAAUUCCGCCCAUUAUUGAAAACAAGUUGCUAAAAGUAAACACAUCCGGUUUUGUUACGAGCACUUUGCACUCCGAGCCAAAAGGGCAUUGCAUUGAAUUGAGACUAAAGAAGGCUUGAAAACAUGACCCCAGUUUUGUUGUAUGGUCCAGUAGCUCUUCGACUCUCAACCUGAAGUUAAUCAGAACUCAGACUCGGCCCUUAACAAUAUCCACGAGGCCAGCAUAUCAGCUCAGCUUCUGAGCUUCAGCAAACACUAUAAGCCGCCAAGAUAAAAACAUCGUUGAAGUGAAAGUCGAUGACAAUCCUGACCCCUUCGCUUAAGUAAUUCAGCACAAAAACGUCUUGCGUCAGAGUAGCAAGCCUCCAAACAUCUUCUCCCAUGUUGGCUUCAUCAACACUUCUUACAGCGGAGCCUUGACGAGUUCGACUUCCAUCCCAGCAUCGAUGUUGCUUAGCAACAAUUCAAUGCUGGGAAUUGACAAAUUGUUCUAGACGAGUCGCUUACACAGAAACAAUCUGAUCCAACAGAUAGAGCAGGUGUUGCGUGACUUGUCCCUUAUUGCGACUGACCUCUAUAAGUUGCUCUCGAAUAAUGUAAACCUUAUGCCAGUAUGGGAUUGACGCCAUUUAACAACAGUUGUUGUUGAGAAUUCCCGGGUUUGAGGUGGCAACUUUGGCGUCGGGACUCGCUCCAUCUCUGUCUAUGGCCCAGUCAAAGCAGCAGCAGCAAUAAGAACAACAAGUAGUAUCUGAGCGGUGCUCUGGUGUACGGGGCUUCAUGUAUGUGCUUAAAGUGUCAUCCCAGAAUAUCCUGUGCAGAUUGCUCAUAUAUUAAGUCCUAUUAAGGUGUCAUCCCAGAAUAUCCUGUGCAGACUGCACAUACAUCAAGUCCUAUUAAAGUGUCAUCCCAGAUUAGCCUGUGCAGACUGCACAUACAUCAAGUCCUAUUAAAGUGUCAUCCCAGAAUAUCCUGUGCAGACUGCACAUACAUCAAGUCCUAUUAAAGUGUCAUCCCAGAUUAGCCUGUGCAGACUGCACAUACAUCAAGUCCUAUUAAAGUGUCAUCCCAGAUUAGCCUGUGCAGACUGCACAUACAUCAAGUCCUAUUAAGGUGUCAUCCCAGAAUAUCCUGUGCAGACUGCACAUACAUUAAGUCCUAUUAAAGUGUCAUCCCAGAAUAUCCUGUGCAGACUGCACAUACAUUUAGUCCUAUUAAAGUGUCAUCCCAGAAUAUUCUGUGCAGACUGCACAUACAUAAAGUCCUAUUAAAGUGUCAUCCCAGAAUAUCCUGUGCAGACUGCACAUACAUUUAGUCCUAUUAAAGUGUCAUCCCAGAUUAGCCUGUGCAGACUGCACAUACAUAAUGUCCUAUUAAAGUGUCAUCCCAGAAUAUCCUGUGCAGACUGCACAUACAUUUAGUCCUAUUAAAGUGUCAUCCCAGAUUAGCCUGUGCAGACUGCACAUACAUAAUGUCCUAUUAAAGUGUCAUCCCAGAUUAGCCUGUGCAGACUGCACAUACAUUUAGUCCUAUUAAAGUGUCAUCUCAGAUUAGCCUGUGCAGACUGCACAUACAUAAAGUCCUAUUAAAGUGUCAUCCCAGGUUAGCCUGUGCAGGCUGCACAUACAUCAUGUCCUAUUUUCCAAGAAUGAGGCUCAUAUAGUUCACUUAACAUCAGUCCUUUUUCUGCCUGAUUGAAGAAAAGCUCCUAACAUCAAAUGUGAAUUAUUCGUUUUUAAAUUGAUCAAACUUGAAAAAUAAAUAAUAAAUAAAAGUUGAUCUGAUAUCAAUUUUAGUCAUAGAAGGUCAGAACAUAGUUUUGUCUAUUUUUGGGCCAAAAUUCAAACCCUGAACCAAAAGUUUCUCCUUGCAUAAUUAAAAUAUCUGCUUAAAUCGAAUUGUUGAAUUCUCUUUAAUUUGAGUAAAAAAAUAUUUAAAUGCAUUCAGCACAUUUUAAAAUUGUUUUCUUCAUUUAUUUUCAA